CUGAAAGAGCGGAGGGUCGCCUCUGGCUAUGCCAGGGGAGGAAAGUCCGAACUCCGCAGGGCGCGAUGCCGCGUAACCCUCUCCUCGCGAGAGGGAUGCACGCGGGAGACUGCACUUUAAGGUGUAGUCUACGGCCAGUGCCACAGAAAACAAACCGCCCGGUUUACCGGGUAAGGGUGAAAAGGUGAGGUAAGAGCUCACCGCCCCAAGAGCAAUCGAGGGGGCACGGUAAACCCCAUUGGGAGCAAGACCAAAUAGGGAACCCGGGGCAGCCCGUCCCAUUGAGGUUCCGGGUUAGGUCGCAACAGAUAAAUGAUCCUCUCCGCAGCCGGCUUGCCGGCUUGCGCAGACAGAAUUCGGCUUACAGCUCAAUCAGGAUC
rnacentral:RNase_P_RNA from 1 species